AGGUCUAGUCUAUCUCUCGCUUGUGCCCUAAAUUUAUUUCUUAUAUCACACCCCCUUUUCUCAGGAACCUCAACAGCGAUUCGUGGAAUUUUGAAAUUGUUUAGACGCCGCGAGAGAUGUCUGACAACGAAGAUAACGGCGCCGCCGAUGAUGGAUUUCACUCCGGAGAUGGUGGUGGACGCGGCGGCGAGAUCGACGAUCACCGAAACUUGAAAUCCCAGAUGGAAAUGCUUGACAAUGAGAGGGAUUCUUCUAGAAGUAAAGAAAGUGAUAGAGUGAAAGGGAGAGAUAAAGAGAGAGAUAGGGACCACGAGCGGAGGAGAGACAGAGAGGGAGAGAGGAGCAAGGAACGUGACAGGGAGGAGGAUAGAAGCAGGGAUAAAGGUAUGGAGAAAGAAAGGGAUCGAGAGAGACAUCACAGAAGUCGUCACAGAGAUCGCAGUGGGGAACGAGGUGAGAGAAGAGAACGUGUCAGGGGAGAUGAUGAUGACCAUCGUCGAAGCCGUGAUCGUGACUUUGAGAGGCGUAGAGAUUAUGACAAGAAUAGAGGAGAUAGACGCCGUCACCGGUCUCGUUCUCGUUCAAAGGGUAGAUCUGAGCGUAGAUCACGAUCUCCAUCCAAGAGUAAGCGGGUCAGUGGAUUCGACAUGGCACCCCCAGCUUCUGGGAUGUUAGAUGCUGGUUCUGCUGUUACAGGUCAAGUUCCCGCUCCAAACCUAACUCUUCCCGGAGCUGGAAUGUUUCCGAACAUGUAUCCCUUACCAACUGGACAGACAUUCAGUGGACUCCCUAUGAUGCCAAUUCAGGCAAUGACACAGCAGGCUACUAGACAUGCUCGGAGAGUCUAUGUUGGUGGUCUUUCUCCCUCAGCAAAUGAACAGUCUGUUGCAACAUUUUUCAGUCAGGUUAUGGCUGCUGUUGGCGGAAACACUGCUGGUCCAGGUGAUGCUGUUGUCAAUGUGUACAUAAACUACGAGAAGAAGUUUGCAUUUGUGGAGAUGCGAUCUGUUCAAGAGGCGAGUAAUGCAAUGUCUUUAGAUGGGAUUAUAUUUGAGGGAGCUCCAGUGAAGGUGAGGAGACCUAGUGACUAUAACCCAUCUCUAGCUGCAACCCUUGGUCCAAGCCAGCCAAUUCCCAAUUUAAAUUUGGCUGCUGUUGGUCUGACUCCAGGGGCUUCUGGUGCACUUGAGGGACCAGACCGUAUUUUUGUUGGUGGGCUUCCCUAUUAUAUCCCUGAGGCACAAAUCAAGGAAUUGCUGGAGUCCUUGGGAGCCCUGAAGGGUUUUGAUCUUGUAAAAGACAGAGAAACCGGAAACUCAAAAGGAUACGCAUUCUGCGCAUAUCAAGAUCCGUCUGUCACAGACAUUGCUUGUGCUGCUCUCAACGGAAUUACAAUGGGAGAUAAAACUCUUACAGUGAGGCGAGCUAACCAAGGAACAACUCAACCGAAAUCUGAACAGGAGAGUGUAUUGUUGCAUGCACAGCAGCAAGUUGCUUUCCAGAGGAUUAUGCUACAACAGGGAACAGCAGCCACCAAAGUAGUGUGCCUGACACAAGUAGUUACAGAGGAAGAGCUUAGAAACGAUGAGGAGUACGAAGACAUUGUUGUAGACAUGAGAGAAGAAGGCGGAAAGUUUGCCUUUUGUUGUCCCACAUUCUGCUAUAAAGAAUCAGGCCCAUAACAGGAGACUGCAUAACUUCCUUAUCUAUAUAUCAUCCAAGCACCAUCCUUCUUAGAAAAAAACAACUUGAAGUUGUUUCUUCUUUUGUUUUUUUGUCUCUUCUAUUGGAUUCGAAAAUGUUUGCUCUUAAAUUGCAGGUGCGUUGACUCAAGUCGUGAUCCCUCGCCCUAGCCCCAACGGUGAGCCCAUUCAGGGCGUUGGCAAGGUGUUUCUUGAAUACGCGGAGACAGAGAGCUCGAGCAGGGCAAGAAACGGGAUGAACGGUAGGAAAUUUGGAGGGAACCAAGUGAUGGCUGUGUUUUACCCUGAAGAUAAGUUUGAACAAGGAGAUUAUUCUAUUUAAGAGAGUUUUUUAAUUCUACAAGUAAUUUCUUCUUAAUCUUGUUGUCUCUUCUUUGUCUGGUUUACUUUAAAGCCAUUUGUAUCUUGUUUUUGUCGUAUCAAAAGACAAGGAAGGAUCCAAAAUACAAUGCUUGUAACAGUUUUUCACUAAACAAGGCCUUUUCUUUUUCUC